rnacentral:lncRNA from 1 species
CUCGAUAUGUGGCCUUAGUUCUUUUAACUACUCUGAAGCUGUAGAACUUAAAAGGUCUCCCAGGUGCUCUCUGGAGCUGUGAGAUUUGGGUUGGCUGAUGGUCUAAGAUUCUGCUUAUAGCCAUCUGUGAUGAUUACACUUAUUUCCAUUCAGGAAGUGUGUGGUACAAUGAUUUUGCUUAUGAGUUACCUUCUUUUAAGAACUCUUUGGAGGGACAAGGCAAAUGUCAAGGCAGUAGAACCAAAUGGAAUCAACACAGUAAAGUUGGGUCAGUGUUAUUCACUGUGAUGAAUACAUAUAGUAGGCUCAAAACCACAGACUUUAACAAACACAGGCUGCUAACUGUUGGCCUGGGCAUUGAUGGAACUGGUUUUUACAAACUAUACAAGCUCUUUGAAGCCAGCAAGAUUUUACAAGGCAUGAUCACAUGAUCUUAAAGAGCAAAUGCUUCUUUUCAAAGGACCAAAGUUAUUCUGAGAGGAAUUGUUACUCUCUGGGAGAAUUCCCUAUCUCAGAGGAAAGGAGCACUGAUUACAGCUCACUGUCAAAGAUGUUUGAGUGAGUAACAGCCCUAACAGCGGCUUUCUCAGGGAAUACUAGAGGCCUGGGAAUACUUGAAGUCCCACCUGUGAAGUGUCUUGAGCUCUUGCAUAAUCAGAGGGGAUCUAGCCUAGGGUGAUGCAUUAAGACUAUAUGUGCUUUCUGCAUUGGAGGCAUAGGAAGCUCUAUAAAAUUUCUGCAGGCAUGGGGAAGACCUUUUAAGAAGCAGAGGCCCUAAGGCUGCAGGGAACAGGGCCAUAGAUAAGUUGGUACUUGUCCUGUGGAAGGACUUUUUUCCCAGCCACUACUGUAGCAAUAUAUGUGACCUUGUUUCCAGGUGGGCCCACAUAUUCAAGUGUGUAGUUUCCUACCUCAUAUAAGGAAUCUUUCAAAAACAAAUCCAUCUUAUCGCCCUUUGCUCCUUGGUGCCUCAUGAAAUCUAAACAGUUUAGCAAAGCAUACCUAUGUCUUCCCUGGUGAACUCUGCCUUAUGUUGAAGCCUGCUCUCAACAAAUGAAAUACUAGUUUUGAGCAAGUUACUUCACAUUCUCUGACCCUCCUUUUCCUUACCUGUAAAAUAGAAUACAGCCCUUGUUGUGCUAGGGCUGUUGUUUAAAUGAAAUAAUAUUGUAAAGUACUUAGUAGGAUGUUUGCCAUAUCAUAAGUGCCUAAUAAGUAUACUUUGAUUGCUAUGGAUAUUAUUUCUACGUAUUGAAUUCUGACUGAUCCUUCAGACUUGGGCAAAAUACCUCCUGUGAGAAGUUUUCUCCAGACCAGGGUGGAGUGAAGAGUCUCCCAUUAUUUGCCUCUGUGUUCUCAGGCUGGUCUCCCAGACUGGGUUCUUUGCUUUCACAUUGACUCCCCACUGGACCGUAGGCUCCUGAAAGGCAAAACCCUGCUCUGCAACAUGCACCUGGUAUGUUCUUCUUAAUAAAUGUUUGGUGAAAGAAUAAAGGAACUAAUAAGAUUUCUGUUUUCUG